CCUACGGGGGGCUGCAGUGGGGAAUAUUGGACAAUGGGGGGAACCCUGAUCCAGCCAUGCCGCGUGUGUGAAGAAGGCCCUCGGGUUGUAAAGCACUUUCAGUGAGGAAGAACGCCUGGUGGUUAAUACCCAUCAGGAAAGACAUCACUCACAGAAGAAGCACCGGCUAACUCCGUGCCAGCAGCCGCGGUAAUACGGAGGGUGCGAGCGUUAAUCGGAAUUACUGGGCGUAAAGCGCGCGUAGGUGGCUUGAUAAGCCGGUUGUGAAAGCCCCGGGCUCAACCUGGGAACGGCAUCCGGAACUGUCAAGCUAGAGUGCAGGAGAGGAAGGUAGAAUUCCCGGUGUAGCGGUGAUAUGCGUAGAGAUCGGGAGGAAUACCAGUGGCGAAGGCGGCCUUCUGGACUGACACUGACACUGAGGUGCGAAAGCGUGGGUAGCAAACAGGAUUAGAUACCCGUGUAGUC
rnacentral:rRNA from 1 species